GCCUGGCUGGCUCAAUUAGUAGAGCAUGCGACUCUUGAUCUCAGGGUUCAACUUGAGUUCAAGUCCUAUGUUGGGCA
rnacentral:tRNA from 1 species